GUCGUGGUAGCUCAGCUGGUUAGAGCGUCGGAUUCAUAUCCCGAAAGCAUUCGGGACGUCGGUUCAAGUCCGUCCCACGAUA
rnacentral:tRNA from 1 species